rnacentral:rRNA from 1 species
GGGAGGUAGGUGACAAUAAAUAACAAUACGGGGUUCUUUCGGAUCUCGUAAUUGGAAUGAGUACAAUUUAAAUCUCUUAACGAGGAACAAUUGGAGGGCAAGUCUGGUGCCAGCAGCCGCGGUAAUUCCAGCUCCAAUAGCGUAUAUUAAAGUUGUUGCAGUUAAAAAGCUCGUAGUUGAAUUUCGGGAUUAGCAGGUCGGUCGUGCCACUGGUACGUACUGGUCUUGCUGAUUCCUCCCUCUUGACGAGCCGUAAUGCCAUUAAUUUGGUGUUGCGGGGAAUCAGGACUGUUACUUUGAAAAAAUUAGAGUGUUUAAAGCAGGCAUGCGCUUGAAUACAUUAGCAUGGAAUAAUGAAAUAGGACGUUCGAUCUUAUUUUGUUGGUUUCUAGGAUUGACGUAAUGAUUAAUAGGGAUAGUUGGG